ACUCAAAGGAAUUGACGGGGGCCCGCACAAGCGGUGGAGCAUGUGGUUUAAUUCGACGCAACGCGAAGAACCUUACCUGGGUUUGAACUGAGGAGGACAGCCUGUGAAAGCAGGUCUCCCUUCGGGGUCUCCUCAGAGGUGCUGCAUGGCUGUCGUCAGCUCGUGUCGUGAGAUGUUGGGUUAAGUCCCGUAACGAGCGCAACCCCUAUCCUUAGUUGCCAGCGGGUCAAGCCGGGAACUCUAAGGAAACUGCCGGUGAUAAACCGGAGGAAGGUGGGGAUGACGUCAAGUCCUCAUGGCCUUUAUGUCCAGGGCUACACACGUGCUACAAUGGUCGGUACAAAGGGCUGCGAAGCCGCGAGGUGAAGCUAAUCCCAAAAAGCCGAUCUCAGUUCGGAUUGGAGUCUGCAACCCGACUCCAUGAAGGUGGAAUCGCUAGUAAUCACGGAUCAGCAUGCCGUGGUGAAUACGUUCCCGGGCCUUGUACACACCGCCCGU
rnacentral:rRNA from 1 species